rnacentral:tmRNA from 1 species
GGGGGCGACAGGUUUCGACAGGGAAGAAGGGGGCAGAGAGGCAUGCCGGGUUUCUGCCUUCCCGUAUUUAGGCAGAGAUAAACAUAACCGCAGACUCUUACGAGUAUGCGAUGGCCGCUUAAUGCGGCCACAUCACCUGGACUUUCCUCCUGCUUUAAGUCCAGAGUGGUGUAAACCAAGCAGGAUAGCCAGUCCAGACGCCUAUACGGACUGGCGAAAAAAGAUAGGCUUUGGAAGGGAAAAACCUGUCAGUGGGUGUUUCCCUAUCCGAGACUAAAACACUGACUAAGCAUGUAGUCUCUUAUGUCUCCUCUUUUCUGGACGCGGGUUCGAUUCCCGCCGCCUCCACCA